AAGGAGAACUAUUAUACACAACAUUUCAAGAUGACUGGUUGCACACAAGAGAAUUAGACUGACUGAAAUAUUAGAAUGUUGAAAGGUCUGUGAAUAGGAUUUUGAACAGAAAAAAAACCGGCAAUCUUCAUGCUCUCACUUUGCUCUCAGCAAGAACACCUGGGAUUCUUCAGCCUUGCCAUGUGUGGAGAACAGCCCAAAAAUAGGCCUGCGAACACUUCCAAGAUGGAUUGCUACUCUUUGCCUGAAGUAAAACAGAACCAGCUUUUAUUCACAUGCAGACUGAAAGGAAGACUCUCAGGUCAGACUGAAUCUCAGCAGAAUGGAAGUAUUUUCCCUCCAACUGUCAUCUCACCCCUUUUUCUCACGUGGUCUAUGGAACUCUUCAGGAGGCCCGGUCACUCCAGAAUUCUAUUCCUUGCAGACAGGAGCUUCUGUUCAGUCCCCAGAGAAUAUAGUUUGGGUAAUUCUUGCCAGCAACAUUCUCUUCAAGUCUGUCACAUGUCUUAUUGCCCAUCUGCAGAAUAAACUUCUGGAGGAAAGCCAGCAACUGACAAAUGGACAAUACAGCAACUGACAAAUGGAACGUUCUCCGAAGCUAAAUGGAAAACUCAUCAAUCAUACCCCCCGGUUGCCGAGUUAUACAUGGUGGAAAUCAUGUUCCGUGUCAAGUCUACCUUGAUAAGUCACACUUGUUCACUAACCCGCACAUCUCUAGCAAUGAACAGAGAAGGUAAAGGAGAAAGAACGACCCCAGGACUAAUUCCUUCAUUUCCUCCAGAUAUGAACUCUUGCUUUCAGAUGUUAAACGGUUGCUAAUUUCUUCCAGUAUUUAACAUGGAUGGUUUCUAGUCAUUAAACAAAAAGAGAAGAUGCCAGUUGAGAUAAAAAUCCCUCGGCACACAUUAAGUACACACAUUUCUGAGCAAACUACAACCAGACUUCAGAUGCCUGAGAAAUAGCACAGGCUGAAUUGAGUCACGGAGAACUAAUCAGUUUUCUGUUGUCCAGCCAAGCUCGUGUUUGUCUAGUUGUUUGCAUAUUCCUUGCCCAAACAGCAACAUCAAAGUAACAAGGAGAUGCCAGAAACUAGCACUACUUUAAAAGAAGACACUGUCUUUAAUUUGCUCACUUAUUAAACAAAUAUUAUGGGAUGCCUAUCAUUUGCCAGAUAUUGUUCUAGGCACUGGGGAUACCACAAUGAGCAAGAGACCUUUCCCCACAAAGAGAAAGGUCCUCUGCUAGUUCAUGAAAUGUCUUAUGAUUCAAAAUGAGAAAAUUAUAGUAAUGAUAAUGAAAUGGGUGAAAUAAUACAUAGUAGAAUAAAUAUGUUUUAAUGGGAGAGGGACUAUGGCCAGAAAGAUAUUUUCUUCAAGCUCUGAAAUAAAGCUUUCUUACAAACAAGUAAAAUUAAAGAAAUCCUAAGUGUGUCAACCUUUGUUUUAAUUUUUAUUGUGAAGAUUGUACCCAGAAGAAAAUGGAAAUGACUUCUAAAUACAUGAGAAUAGAUAAGUAUGAGUGUAGAUGUAUGUGGUGUAUAACUUCCUAUAGGUUUCUCCAGUCCUUUGCAGUUUCUAUUGAACUUUCUCAAAUCCAUUAGGUAAACCAACCAAAAAUGAAAAACUAGAGGCUCUUUCCUUCCUGCCACCCACAAAAUCAGCCCAGA
rnacentral:lncRNA from 1 species